rnacentral:rRNA from 1 species
AUGGCCACGUGCCCCUCGAGCCAGCAGGUCGAUGCCCUGCCUCGCCGUCGUUUGCCUCCGGUGAGCAGCCGCACCAUGGCCUUCCUCCUCCCACGACAGUCGCGCCGUGCCCUCAAGCGCCUCGCCUCCCGCAGCCGUGCUAGGACCUCCUCGCCGCCUCCUCGUCUACCCGGAGCAACCGCGUCGUCAGCAAGCAGUCCCGCUGGAGCAGCUCUUCUCCCGCGCGCUUCUCCUCCUGUUUCUCCUCGUCGCCACCAAGUACCUCACCGCCGGCAGCAGCAGCUGCUGCACUCUCUCGACGCGCCCCUGGCACUGCUUCUCCUCCGUGCACCAUGGCCUUGGCCCCUCUGUUCCUCCCGUCGACUCUGCUGCCCUCCUCGACGUCCUGCUAGAUCUCUCCGUGGGCCACAGAUGUGUGAUUUAGCCUGCUUUGCUGCUGCCCACCUGAGGCCUCCUUGGUCUUGCUUCAAUUUGGUUUUGACCGGCAAGUUCCUCUUCACCGAAUGUCCACACGACCGCAACCGGGACCUUGUUCUGCUACGUUUUUGA